rnacentral:rRNA from 1 species
GAUGAACGCUGGCGGCGUGCCUAAUACAUGCAAGUCGAGCGAACAGACGAGGAGCUUGCUCCUCUGACGUUAGCGGCGGACGGGUGAGUAACACGUGGAUAACCUACCUAUAAGACUGGGAUAACUUCGGGAAACCGGAGCUAAUACCGGAUAACAUAUUGAACCGCAUGGUUCAAUAGUGAAAGACGGUUUUGCUGUCACUUAUAGAUGGAUCCGCGCCGCAUUAGCUAGUUGGUAAGGUAACGGCUUACCAAGGCAACGAUGCGUAGCCGACCUGAGAGGGUGAUCGGCCACACUGGAGCUGGGACACGGUCCAGACUCCUACGGGAGGCAGCAGUAGGGAAUCUUCCGCAAUGGGCGAAAGCCUGACGGAGCAACGCCGCGUGAGUGAUGAAGGUCUUCGGAUCGUAAAACUCUGUUAUUAGGGAAGAACAAAUGUGUAAGUAACUAUGCACGUCUUGACGGUACCUAAUCAGAAAGCCACGGCUAACUACGUG